rnacentral:rRNA from 1 species
GACGAACGCUGGCGGCGUGCCUAAUACAUGCAAGUCGAACGCAGUGGGGACGGGUGAGUAACACGUGGGAACCCUCCCAUCAGAGGGGAUAACACUUGGAAAAUGGUGCAAAACCGAUACUGAUGGAUGGACCCGGGGUGCAUUAGCUAGUGGGUGGGGUAACGGCUCACCAAGGCAACGAUGCAUGGCCGACCUGAGAGGGUGAUCGGCCACACUGGGACUGAGACACGGCCCAGACUCCUACGGGAGGCAGCAGUAGGGAAUCUUCGGCAAUGGACGAAAGUCUGACCGAGCAACGCCGCGUGAGUGAAGAAGGUUUUCGGAUCGUAAAACUCUUUUGUUAGAGAAGCGGUAUCUAACCAGAAAGCCACGGCUAACUACGUGCCAGCCGCCGCGGUAAUAC